AACGAACGCUGGCGGCAGGCCUAACACAUGCAAGUCGAACGAGUAAGAGCCGUAGCAAUACGGAGUUCUGCUAGUGGCGCACGGGUGAGUAACGCGUGGGAACGUGCCUUGGAGUUCGGGAUAACAGUUGGAAACGACUGCUAAUACCGAAUAUUCCCUCAGGGGGAAAGAUUUAUCGCUCCAAGAUCGGCCCGCGUAAGAUUAGGUAGUUGGUGGGGUAAUGGCCUACCAAGCCUACGAUCUUUAGCUGGUCUGAGAGGACGACCAGCCACACUGGAACUGAGACACGGUCCAGACUCCUACGGGAGGCAGCAGUGGGGAAUAUUGGACAAUGGGCGAAAGCCUGAUCCAGCCAUGCCGCGUGAAUGAAUGAAGGCCUUAGGGUUGUAAAAUUCUUUUGCAGGGGAAGAUAAUGACGGUACCCUGCGAAUAAGCUCCGGCUAACUUCGUGCCAGCAGCCG
rnacentral:rRNA from 1 species